rnacentral:misc_RNA from 1 species
GAUGAAGAACGUAGCGAAAUGCGAUAAGUAAUGUGAAUUGCAGAAUUCAGUGAAUCAUCGAAUCUUUGAACGCACAUUGCGCCCGCCAGUACUCUGGCGGGCAUGCCUGUUCGAGCGUCAUUACAACCCUCAGGCCCCCGGGCCUGGCGUUGGGGAUCGGCGGAGCCCCCCGUGGGCACACGCCGUCCCCCAAAUACAGUGGCGGUCCCGCCGCAGCUUCCAUCGCGUAGUAGCUAACACCUCGCGACUGGAGAGCGGCGCGGCCACGCCGUAAAACACCCAACUCUUCUGAAGUUGACCUCGAAUCAGGUAGGAAUACCCGCUGAACUUAAGCAUAUCAAUAAGCGGAGGA